CUUGAGGCGCCUCCAGUAUCACUACUGUCAAUACAAGCCGGCGGGAAGCUAGUGUGUGUGGAGCGUCGAAUCCUGCCCUGGGGUCCUGGCUCCUCCGGCCACUGGAGGCCUCCGGGAAUUGCGUUACAAUCAUCCAUCCUACCGCGCUUUCCUGGUGGACGCCGAACUCCGCCGCAGACACGAGUCACCUCUGAUUUACUGCUGCACCUCACAGCCUGGCGAAGUGGGGACCCUAGUCUGUGCUCAGCAAAGGUUUGUUGAAUGAAGCACAGCUUUAUAAAGACUGGACCCAGAGUGUGGUGGCUUCACAACUACCUUAGGAGGUUUAAAAAUGAUCUGAAGGUCAGGAGCCAAGGUCGGCUAAUCAGGAGAACAAAGACAGCAACUCAGCCCUGAUAAAGAUUCUGCCAAAUCUGUGACUCCUUCUGGCCUCACUUUGCUAUCUCAUAAUAGGAACUGGCUGCCCCCAUCAUCUGAAUGGCUUACAGAGGUCACUAAAAUUAAUAAUUAAUAGGAGAGAUUCAAAUGACGGAAUUUCCCUACACCACACUCCUACUAAACAAUUAAUAAUACAGCAAUACCCGUGAGCCACAGCCAACCCGCUUUCUGCUGUUCCCAGCGAAGGACCGGCUGUUCCUCAGGGUCUCCGGGUUCAUUCUGCUUUCGUGGCCUCGUGGACACUGCUCUCUCCUCUUGAAAUACACCCCUGCCCCUGUUCUGGCCAAGUCCUCCCUGCGGUCCGGGAUUCGGCUGCUGGGUCGCUUCAUCCUCAAUCUAGAUUCAGAAAUAGCCUCUGUUCCAGAGCUGUUUUGUAAACAGAAAACUGCACUUUGCGGCCAGGCCUCAGAGCACUCUGGUCACGUCGUGAAGGCCGAGUGCAGAGGAGCAGAGGGAAGGGAUGGAAAGAAGAGUGGAAGGUGAAGAGGAAAACUACUUCCCAGAAUAAGAAAAAGUCACAAAACACGGCUUCUCAUUGUGAUUCUGAAAUUCCAAGGUGUCUCACUGUCUCACUUGGCCCGAACUAGAGAGAAAUGAAGUGUGCCUCCAAACAACAGAUCUCUGGUGGAAUGAGACCCCAAAAAUCCAAAGGAAAGACUGAAUUUUUUUCCCAUAUGAAUUUCUUUUGGCAUCUGUGUGUAUGAAUCAGACGAUUGUGAGCAUCGCGUUUUAGUUCCCAAGGUGACCGUUUUCCCCUCGUUUUGGGUUAUAUAAGCCAAUGGCUUCCACUGUUUGGGGGGUGUGUAUGGGUGGCCAGGGCCAAGGCCCAGGAAAUUGCAAGAUAACAUUUGUAACAUUGUGCACGGUCAAGGUGUGAAAGAUGAUGAAGCCAAAAGAACAGACUUUGGAGAAAUGUUCGCUCGCCAAAUCUGAACCUUUUUGAGAAUUAAUUUUUAAAAAUUCAAUGUAAAACUUUAUAACUUAAAAAAGUGUUUAUUUGUUUUGAGAGAGAGAGAGAGAGAGAGAGAGAGCGAGCCCGGCUUGGUGGGUGAUGAUCAAACCAUGAGUCUGCUGCUCAACCAACGGAGCCAUUCAGGCACCCCGAGCUUUAAAACCUUUUGAUUAAAAUGUCAACCCACAGUGGUACGGACAACUGUCUUUUAUACAGAAAGAAAUAAAAGCCUUUCCUCAUAA